rnacentral:rRNA from 1 species
AAGGGAUGAGCUCAGCGCCAAGUCCCGUCGUCAUCAGGCGUACGGGAGAUGCGGCGUGAAUACAGCAGUGCAUCGCAUUUUGUCUCUGUAACGCAAGUUCCUCUGACAAGGACUUUUUCCAUAGCGGGUGCUAGGCCCAUAGCUGUUACAAGAUAUUCUGCGCAAACUGUUGCAUGCUAGAGUCAGGUUGCUUGAGAGUGCAGCCUAAAGCAGGUGGUAAACUCCACCUAAGGCUAAAUAUUACAGCGAGACCGAUAGCAAACAAGUACCGUGAGGGAAAGUUGCAAAGAACUUUGAAGAGAGAGUUCAAUAGGACGUGAAACCGUUUGUAGGUAAACAGGUGGAACCACGAAGUUUGCCGGGAAGAGGAUUCAACUGUUCCGGUUGAGGCAGUCGCUGGUAUCAUAUCUGGUCCUCUCUGAGGGCAGGUGCCGGUGACAUCAAUGCCACUGCCGGGCGGUGCAUUUCUUUACUCCCGCGCUGAAGCCAUGACCAGUUAGAAGGCUAGGGCGUCCGUAUGCGAAAGUCGCGGGAAGGUAACUAGAUGAUCUUCGGGUCAUGCUAGUGUUAUAGCCCGUGGCUUGGAGCUUCUGCUGCCUUUAGUGUACUGACUGGCUCAAUUUCUCCGCCUAUGCGGGGUUUGCAUGUAAAGGUUGCGUACAGUUCCGCUAUCGAGGUGUGCCAGUUCUGUGGUUUUUUCUGUGUCUUGCACGGAAAUGCUGCUAGAUUGGUGUAUCUAUGCUGGUGGUGGUAUCUGUGCGUAGCUGGCAAUCGAUGGCUAGUAGGUCGGUAUCUACCUGACCCGUCUUGAAACACGGACCAAGGAGUCUAACAUGUGCGCGAGUCACUCGGUCUUGAAUAGGCCAGAGAGGCGCAAUGAAAGUAAAGUUGAUUGAGUUACGAUCCUCAUUUAGUUAUCCUUUAGGGUAACGGUGGGGCGCAGUAACAGCCCGCCAAUUUCGCUUAUUGUCGAUGUGGCGGAGUUGUAGCGUACACGUUGGUACCCGAAAGAUGGUGAACUAUGCCUGGGCAAGACGAAGCCAGAGGAAACUCUGGUGGAGGUCUGUAGCGAUUCUGACGUGCAAAUCGAUCGUCAGACCUGGGUAUAGGGGCGAAAGACUAAUCGAACCAUCUAGUAGCUGGUUCCCUCUGAAGUUUCCCUCAGGAUAGCAGGCACUCGAUGAGAUUCAGUCUCAUCCGGUAAAGCGAAUGAUUAGAGGCAUUGGGGUCGAAACGACCUCAACCUAUUCUCAAACUUUAAAUGGGUGAGAAGCCUGACUUGUUUGAUUAAAGCCUGGCUUUGGAUGUAUGAGUGCCUAGUGGGCCAUUUUUGGUAAGCAGAACUGGCGCUGUGGGAUGAACCAAACGUCGAGUUAAAGUGUGCGAUGCUAACGCUCAUCAGAUCCCAUGAAAGGUGUUGGUUGCUAUAGACAGCAGGACGAUGGCCAUGGAAGUCGGAAUCC